UUAUGUUGGUGUGCUCUGGAUGGAAGUGCGCAUUUCAUGGCGGCCGCGCAAAAACGGCACCGGCUAGACAGCCUGGCAGGAAGAAUUUAUCUGAAACUGCCCGGCGACUGACCUGAACUGGUUGGUCUCGUCAGUCUAGUUUUUAUCGGCCGACGAGACCAAUGACUCAGAAACCAAGUUUGCAGUUAUCUGUCUGCACGGAGCGUAAUCAGAAUAUUGAAUCUGUUGUUAAUGGCAACGAUACGAAUAGUGAUAAUUCAGAGACUAAUUAUCCAAUACGUGUUGUGUGUGUUCGAAAACAGGAUCCACGAGUGUCGUCGCUGGGAUCACGUGGAAUGACCAAUCAGACGCUGACAACACAGCAUUCACAGCCAACAAUGGCGGCCGAUACGCAGUCUGUACAUCGAGAAGAAAGCAACAUGUCCUCCAUGACAGAACUUGUAGUGAGGGAUUUACAAGAUGCACUCAGUAAACUUAAAGAUGAGAAGAAAUGAGACAAAAAGGAAUAUGAAGAACAGUUGAAGUACCGGUCAUAAUGCUGUUGUUAUGAUGGAGAUGCAGGAUAUGAUAACUGAACUGCAACGUGAAUUGAAUGCAGCUGCCGCAACCUCCGGAUGGUUAUGGUUCAAACUUACCAAGUCUCGAGCAGGAUUCGGCCAUUAUGUUCACACGGUUGGACUGGGAACGUAACCAGCGUGCUCUUAAGAAAGGCGUGGCAUCUGAGAAGGUACAGAGUGAGGUUUACAACAAUGCAGUGGAUGCGAUGGAGCAGUAUGUUGAUUUGCCGUCACAACGAUUAGUUCAUCUCGUUAAAAAAUAUACGCACCAUGUACAGAUGAAACAAAUAGAAG